rnacentral:rRNA from 1 species
UACGUAGGGGGCAAGCGUUGUUCGGAAUUACUGGGCGUAAAGGGCGCGUAGGCGGCACGGCAAGUCAGGGGUGAAAGGCCUGGGCUCAACCGAGGAACUGCUUUUGAGACUGCCGAGCUAGAGUGCAGAAGGGGCAACUGGAAUUCCCAGUGUAGCGGUGAAAUGCGUAGAUAUUGGGAAGAACACCUGAGGCGAAGGCGGGUUGCUGGGCUGACACUGACGCUGAGGCGCGAAAGCCAGGGGAGCAAACGGG